AAAGAAGAAAUCUCUCUGGCGGCUUAAACUGGAUCUUCAGCUGCUGCAUCCCCAGAAGUGGGCUCAGUUUCCUCCUUCCCUCCCCCUAUUCACUUGUAUAUGAAGAAGGAGGGAAUGAACCGCUGGAGGCACGAGGAGAUCUGCUCCCCUCCCAGCUCCCAGGCAAACCACUGCCUGCCUAGAUACAACGGGGAGAAAAAGCCUUUGAAAGCACCUUGGAAGGAGGGCGACAUGCAUUAAGGAGUAAUCUUGCUCCAUGGCAAUGAGUCGAGGCUGAGAUGCCAUGAAGAGUUACUGUGCUUGGUGUUGCUGCAGAUGCACGCUGAGGGGAAGCUGCAGAGCCCUUGCCUUCAGGUGGUGUAUUUGCAGUGGGACCUUCAGCUCUUGCCUAUGUGACAUGCUCGUUGCAGCUCUCAUUGGACACCAUGUCACCUACUAAACCCCCGAGUGAAAGAGAAAGGCUCAAGAGGUGAUAAGGUCCUCUGUCAGCCUCCAGAGAGGCUGUUGCUGGGUGUGACUCAGUGCAUCCCAACAGCCUCAUCUCCCUGUGCAAAUCUGCAGGAGACCUUGAAAAGUUUCCAUAGUUUUUGAUAUAUUUCUAAAAAACAUUGCCCCGGUCAUCACAAGAGACGUGACAGCUCCAUUUAAAACUAAACAAAGAAGAUUUGAAGUAUGAAAAAUCAUAUUGACUAAAACUUUGGCACUCAGACAGCACUUGGGACUUGAAUGGAAUUGAAAAAUAAAUAAAUUCAGCACUGUGUAGGCAAAGAAAGCCUUACCUCAGGAUUAUUUGCUUUAUAAUUUGUCCCACACAAAGAGCUAUGUUAAGAUUGCCAAACUAGAAGUCAUGGGAAUGACAGAUUGAAGGCUGCCAGGCAAUCCUACCCUGCCUUCUCAUAUACAUUAUUUAUGCUUAUUCAUUGUAAUAUAGUCUUCAAAUAAAUAUGUGUGCAAAUUAUCUUCCCUGCAGAAGCACAUAAUGAAAAUACCCAGUGAAUGAGCAACCAACCUAUACUACGUAAAAGGAGCUUGAAGCCAAUAUUAAUUUUUGAAAUCUGGUGUUACUUCAGAUUUUCUUGUUUCAGUACACGUUAAAACAAUUUUUGGUUUUUCUAUUGUAAAACUUUGAAAACAACUGUUCAAGAGCAACUGAAAAAUAUCUAUAACUUUGCACACUGUGUUUUUGUUUCUGAAUUUUGUUUCACUCUUAAACACAUUUUUUUCUCCCCUGGGAACAUCUCCGCUUCCUGGAGCAAAGCUCUGCCCAGGCAGGUACCCCAUCGCCAGCGGUGGCCAACAGCAGAGAGGUUGCAAGCACAGGAAAAUGCACAUGUAUACAUAUCUGCUUGACGUCUAGAGUAUAGAAUUAUUACCAGAGACUGCAGUCUGUGAGUAUGGUGUAGAAGCCCUGAAUAUUCUCCUGCCAGCUGGUAAGCAUUUCAGUAUUGACUACGUCAUGUGGCAGUUACACAGAUCUUUGCCUAAUUAACUGUUGUGCAAAGAGCCAUUGCAUCUUGUCUUGAGCCUGGUCCCUGCUAAUUUAAUUUGAUGUCAUCUGAUUUUUGUAAAGGAAGAGAGGCUGGGGGAUAUUUUCUUGUUCACUUUCUUCCUAUUUAUAUUUCAUCAUUUUCUCCUCAGUCCUCCCUAUUUUUGAGAUGAAAAGCUGUAGCUUGCUCAAGUACUUCCUGUGUGAAAUUCAUCCAAAACCUGCAUGCCCUUGUAGCCCGUCUUGGAGCCUUUCCAUUUCUAUACUAUCAUUUUCAAUAGAGAAAAGUGCCCAGAGAUUUCCAGACAUGAGCCCACCCUGGGUUUCUCCAGUGCAUAAUGGUGGUGUCUCCUCCGUUCUCCAGUCUCUGUAACCUUCAACCCAUUCUGGUCAAGCUGAUGAAGCUGGAACGUACUGACUAUAGCAAAAGACAUCACUUAAAUGUAUUCUAAAUGACACUUGCACUAUCUAGGAGCAAGGAUGGCAAUGCUGGAAAAAUAUUUCCUGGAACUUUCCCUUAUUCCUGCUUUUCAUUAAUGCUUACCACCCUGGCAUUUCUGUGCCUACUGUGUUACAAACUUUUUUCUACACCAUGCAUUGAGAUCCAAGCUCUUACCCCUAGGUGGUGGGGUGGGGUGGUAUGUUAUGGUACAGUAUGGUCUGGUACAGUACGGUAUGAUAUGGUAUGGUAUGGUAUUGUUGUGUGCUGAUGGCAGCCAAGGGUGUUGCUGCUGAGCCAGCCCUCACCGGGGCAAGCUCACAACGCAGGACACUCCCCUAGAAACUUGAAAUGCUGUUUUGAAGGAAAAAAAAAGAUCAUUGCUGUGCAUGAAUUAAGAAAUAAGGGUAAAUAUGCAAUGUUGUUUGGGGUGCAAUCAUCUCAGUAAACUUUCUAAGUCAAUAAGGGGUCUCUAAGCUGAGCUUAUCCUUGUCUCCACUUAACUUAGAGUGAUUAGAGAGAUAAUGGGGCUUUGGGGCAGUCAAAGUAAAUUCCUAAACUGAGUCAGACCAACAGGGCCCUAGCAGCGUCCAUUUGUCACCAUUCCCUGUAAAAGAAACUGGUGCUGGCUUGGUUGGAUGCAGUUGUCUAAGGCCAGCUGGGAGGAACCUCAACCCUCAGGACCAAGUUGACUCUAUCCAGAAAAGACAAGAAAGGUUGUACUGUUUUGCUGGUGAGGUCUCUGCAUCCAGCUUCUCUCGCAUGGAGAGGAGGCGGCAGCUGGAGAAGGUGUUCAGGAUGACACUGAAAACUACACCUUGUUGACUUGGCCAGCAGCAGGGAUGAGGGAAUAGUCAUUUGGGAUGAUACAGAUAAAUCUGAAGGUGAGGAGGGUCAUUGGUGGUGUGAGGGUGUAGAGGCUACAGAAUAAUGAGGUUUAAUGCAAGAGCUAGAAGGGUUCCAGGGUGCUGUCGCUGGGGCUCAGCUGUCAGGAGGAUGCUGGGAUGUUCAGAUGGUGCUCGGACCAAGAAGCCUGAGGGGCAGCGGUCACUGGUGGCAACGUCAUUGGGAAGAUGCUGAGGUGCAGAACAAGGACAUGCUGGCAUGACUAAGGCAGAGGUUUAGUUUUACGGUGAUUUUUUUUAUGGGGUGAGGAGCUGGUGGGAGUGUGAGGGGAGACUGGCAGUUGACUUGGCUGGGGAAGAGAGAGAUCAUUAGGACAUAUGAGUAAGGAUACAGUUUAUGGCCAUUGCUUCUUGCCUUUCUUCAAGCUCCUCUUCCAUAACUGCUCUGUGUUAUGCUUCAGGGCCUGCAGCAACACAUGGUAUUAGGGCCUUUUGUCAUCUCUCUGCAGCCCAGCCUGGCAACAGCUGCUCUUUCUUCCUCCCCAGGCUGCAAGGAAGGGAGCACAAGCAGCUAGUCUGGCUGUGCACCACAUCUCACUUAUCUCCUCCACAGCAUCAGGGAACAGUGUGCAUGACAGAUGGCAGAGAAGUCUGCCUUGAUCCCAUGCUGAGGUGCUCCACCAAGGAUAAGCACUAAUGUAUCUCCUUGGUGGAGAAUUGAAGCCUUAGACCUAACCAGGGCACAGCAGUAACAGGCUUUCAGCCAGUGCAGGACGUCCCUGUGAGCAGGAAGAACCUCACGUGCCAGUCGACUUCCAGAUUUCUGCUUAUAAAGGAGGAAGCGGGUGACCUUAGCUCGGCUCUGGGCUCUGGAAAGGACAUGGUAGCUAUCACCAAGAUGUUUUCUUCCCCCUCCCUUACGUUCUCCUCCCUCCUCCUCCUGACCACACUGAUCCUCUUGUCCCACCAGUCAUCCUGCCCCAGCUCCUGGGCACUACUUUGGAGCGCUAGCAUUUACCUUUCCAGCUCCUUAUGUCAUCACAGUUUUAUUCUCACUGGUUUGUAAUCCAAGUGCCUUUUUACCUUGCUACCUCAGCCCCAGUUCCCUGCUCACAUCCAGCUCCAGCCCUGGGGCUCCCAGCGCAGCUGCAGCCUGGGUGCCCAGAGGCAGCAGCACUGGGCACAAGCAGCAUCCAGCUCUGCUGCCUGCUGGGGACAAUCCUGCCAGGAGCUGGAAGCUGGCAGGGGACACAGCGUGCCCUGUGCUGACACAACCCUCUGCAAAUUCAUCUGCCAAGCUGACAAGUCUCUGCUAAAGUAUGUGAGCUGAGACUUCUUAAAAACACAUUUAUAAUUUGGCUACAUCUUCUGGCAUCGGGGUGACCUCCCCUUUCUUUUGCCAAAUUUCAAGCUCUUGCUCAAAUAAAUGGUUGCCUAAUCUUGCCCUGAAAACCACAGAACCAUUUUUACUGAAACUGCCCUCCCCUUUUCUCCUCUGAAAAGAAAAUGGAGGGGGAAAGAAUCAGCCCCAGGCCAAGACUUGGCAGAAGACGUUUCAGCCUGGGUCUCCAGUCUCAUCAUUUGUAGAGUGCCCACAAGCAAGCAAGAAGCUGUGCUCUUGUGACUGCAAAUCGGUGUCAUCAGCUGAAGAAGGUGACCCAGCUCUGCCAUCUGGGCCAUCAUACUGGCCCACCUGACCUAGUAGCCUGCUGCGCAGCUCAUACACCCAGGAUGUGGAAGACCUGUUGUGAAUUCCCUCCUUACUUUGAAGAGUUAAACGAGUACAACCAACAUGUCUGGGUUAUAGAUAACUUGGAAUAUGCCACAAUUUGCCGAUCUUCCUAUAGAUGCUUGGACUAUCAAGCAGCCAAGGAUUAUAGAGUGCUGGGGCUGAAGACGUGAGUGCCUCCUAUGGUGUGGGACAGUGGCAAGUAGGUAGGAGUGGAUUUUCCUCCAACAAACCAGGUUAACAAGGAAAACAGUCAGGCUGCUUCUUGCUUUCUUUAGACUCGUGACUAGUUUUUUUGGCUGCAUUAUUUUGGACAUAGGUGCUCAGUUGUCUUAUGAACAGCUUAGAAAUCUACUGCCAGACCUGGCUCUGAGAGUUCGCUUGACCUUCAGAAGGUGUGGGUAGGAUGAAGGAGGAGAAGUACACAACAAAGGUUAGCAAUAACUAGGACUUGUAGCCUUUGAAUCUGAAGGGUACGUUUUUCUCCAUUCAAAGCUGAGAGGACCUGAGACAUCAGCACUCUCAUAUGCUUCUAUUUUAAGCAGGCUGUAUGUGAUAAGCAAGCAGCAAGCAUGCUGUUAAAUGUGGAAUUUAGAAUCAUAGAAUCAUUUAGGUUGGAAAAGACCUUUGAGAUCAUCCAGUCCAACCAUUAACCCAGCACUGCCAAAUCCACCACUAAACCACAUCCCUAAGCACCAUGUCUACACAUCUUUUAAAUACCUCCAGGGACGGUGACUCAACCACUUCCCUGGGCAGCCUGUUCCAAUGCUUGGUAAUCCUUUCGGUGAUGAGAUUUUUCCUAAUAUCCAAUCUAAACCUCCCCUGGCACAACUUGAGGCUACUUCCUCUUGUCCUAGCACUUGUUACCUGGGAGAAGAGACGGACCCCCACCUGCCUACAGCCUCCUGUCAGGUAGUUGUAGAGAGCAAUAACGUUCCCCCUGAGCAUCCUUUCCUCCAGGCUGAACACCCCCAGUUCCCUCAGCUGCUCCCCAUCAGACUUGUGCUCCAGACCCUUCACCAGCUCCGUUGCCCUUCCCUGGACACCUUCCAGCACCUUUGUGUCCUUCUUGCAGUGAGAGGCUCAGAACUGAACACAGGAUUCGAGGUGCAGCCUCACCAGUGCCCAGUACAGGGGGCGAUCACUGCCCUUGUCCUGCUGGCCACACUGUUUCUGAUACAAGCCAGGAUGCUGUUGGCCUUCUUGGCCACCUGGGCACACGGCUGGCUCAUGUUCAGCUGCCUGUCGACCAACACUUCUAGGUCCUUUCCCACCAGGCAGCUUUCCAGCUGCUUUUCCCCAAGCCCAUAGCGUCGUGGGGUUGUUGUGACCCAAGUGCAGGACCAUCUUGUUUAACCUUGGCCCAUCGAUCCAGCCUGUCCAGACCCCUCUGCAGGGAUUCUUCCUACCCAGAAGCAGAUCAACACUCCUGUCCAACCUGAUGCCAUCAGCAAGCUUACUGAGGGUGCACACGAUCCCCUCGUCCAGAUCAUUGACUUGCAGAAAGGGUGCGGGUAGUCUGCCCUGUGCUGGUUCUAGGAGAGCCCUGUUGGCUGCAGCAGAGUGGUCGGGUAUCCCAAAAGACACUCUCACUCGCCAGUCAUUCAAGUGUUAACUUUUUAUAGGAUGUAUUUCAGGAGCAUUGCCACUCCUUGCCUCCCACACCAGCUUGCAGAUCCCCUCUUGGAAAGGAGCCACCUCUGCCUGCUUUCCACCAACUCGGUGGAGGAGGACACUGAGACCCCAUGCACACGCAUGCUGUGGUGGUGGUGGCGGUCCUGCUGUGAAGCUACUGCGAAAGCACAAGUGACCUGUGGUUUCAUUUUCUGCCGGGCUUAUCUCAGGCAAUGAUCUAAUGCUUUCUGGAGUGACUUUCCAGACUCCAGAACCACGCCUGGUGUAACAAAAAAGCCCGAUUUGGUGACGAGGUGUAUGAAAGCUUCCCAAGAUACCCGUCAGUAGGAAGAACACAGGUGAGGCUGAGGCACCGCUCGCCCCCCCCCCCCCCCCCGCCCCCAACCAGUGUCAAAACCGAACUUUUUUUCCCUUAUUCGUCCACUCGGUGGUGCUAACACACCACCAGCCCCUUCCUGACAUUUCUCCCUGCUGUGUCAGGCGGAGGAUGGCCGUGCUCCUCGGGGAUGCUCAGGUCAUCGCUUUAAAAAGUCACCUCUACGAACCCAACAGCCAGGAAGCCUAAUUAGCUCCCUGCGCCCAUGCUUUGCACCCUGGUGCUUAGUUUCCAAUGGAACAGAUAUAAGAAACACAAAAGACUCAUCAUGCCUAAUUAGAUAGGAAGAGAUUAGCAAACUCACGAUCUUUUUCUCUAAUAAUUUGGGAUUCCAUGUUGUCUUUAGAGGAAAAGCAAAUGGAAUACUGUCAUUACGAGAACUACUCUUGUUUUUUUUUAAAAAAAGUGUUGACCGGUAAGAAUUGAUGCUGCUAGGCAAAUUUUGUGGGGAAAAUCACUUUUUAUUUAUCAACUGAUACA